rnacentral:rRNA from 1 species
UACGGGGGGGGCAAGCGUUGUUCGGAAUUACUGGGCGUAAAGGGCUCGUAGGUGGCCAACUAAGUCAACCGUGAAAUCCCUCGGCUUAACCGGGGAACUGCGUUUGAUACUGGAUGGCUUGAGUUUGGGAGAGGGAUGCGGAAUUCCAGGUGUAGCGGUGAAAUGCGUAGAUAUCUGGAGGAACACCGGUGGCGAAGGCAGCUCGCUGGGACGGUACUGACGCUGAGACGCGAAAGCGUGGGGAGCAAACAGG